UCAAGAUGUAUCUUUCGUGCAGAUGUAUCAAGAUGUACCUUUCACUUAAGAUCCAUGCAGGCACAAGCUUUGGAUGAACUUCUGCUUCUGCGGUCAGCAUUCUUACAGGAGAACCCAAGAUUCACUGUACCUGUAUGCAUUUCAAAACUGAAUAAUUGAUAGCAACAAGUCAAUGUUUGAAGUUGCAGCCAAAUGCUGUGCCUUCUCUGCUGCAAGAGCUACAUGUCACCAUUGAAGCAAGGACCAGCUCGACUCCUGCAGUAGGAGUCCAGCCUCGUCCAGUCGUCGCCGCUCGCCAAGACCAGCCGGACUCCUGCAAUAGGGGUCCAGGCUGACCCGUUCGUCCAGUAACCGCCGCUCGUCAGCACCAGCUGGGCUCCUGUAGUAGGGGUCCAGCCUCGUCCAGUCGCAGCCGCUCGCCAAGACCAGCUGGGCUCCUGUAGUAUGGGGCUAGGAUGGCCCGUUCAUCAACCGGUCCUGAAGUCACAUCGCUGUCAGCCAGCCGAACUCAGUACAUAAGUCACCAACCCUGAAUGUUGCCAGCCAAAGUCGGCAGUUUCCUUCGGACAGUCAUCUCACCAGUGUUGUACAGUGUACGAGGUUAGUGACGCAGUUAAAUGCGUCAAUUAAAUGCGAGGACGUGCGCUUGUAUGCAGCGUUUUGUCAUGUUGAGCUGCAUGGGUGUCGAUUUUCACCGAAUUGAGGGUGCCCACUGCCCGGGCGCAGCAAAUCCGCCGCCGCCUCAGCGGUGACCUUGACCCGCACCGUCUGUUGGGGCUCCAAAGCCAAGCCAGCCGAGCCGGCGGGGAAUUUAAAGAGCUUGAGCACCCCCAACCCGGCGGAAAUUGACACCUAUGUUGAGCUGUAUGGAUGCGUUUUAGCCUUCCGCCGUGGUGGUAAAUAGCAGCCUACAUGCAGAAUUAGGCAGGCUUAUUGGCGGGCUCAUUAUUGGAUUCAUUGUGUCACGUUUGUCGGCACGUGUAAGAUGUGCUUAACUGCCAUUGGCUCUCGGCCUGGCGACUUCUGGGGACCACGUAAUGGGGAUGACAAUUGGGAUCCUGUGCCUUAAGCCGGCCAUUUACGUCCAUGGCUAUAUACCCCCGUACUAGGGCUAGUUAUGACGUAUAUAGGGAUCCACGAGAUCUCUUUUGAUGAAUGGGUUGUGCAGUGUUGAGAUCCGCGUGUAACGUCACUGUUUGGCCAGUCUGCCCUCAAACGGGUCAUCUUUACUCAUAUUUUAUUUACAUGAACGCUUUGCAUGGUCCAGUGGUUUAUAUAGACAUCUUCCUUGCACUAGCUAGUUUUAUGUGGCCAGGUUGAUUGCCUGUCAGCGCGGUCACGCUGUCGUCUUUCGAUUGGUGCGCUUAAAUGCGGCGAGAUGAAUAUAGGAUUUCCUUUGAUGCUA